AUGGCGGUCGGCAAGAACAAGCACCUUACGAAAGGCAGCAAAAAGGGAGCCAAGAAGAAAGUAGUUGAUCCAUUUUCUAAGAAAGAUUGGUAUGAUGUGAAACGAUUUCUAAGAAAUAUUGGGAAAACACUAGUCACCAGGAUGCAAGGAACCAAAAUUGCAUCUGAUGGCCUCAAAGGUCGUGUGUUUGAAGUGAGUCUUGCUGAUCUGCAGAAUGAUGAAGUUGCAUUUAGAAAAUUCAAGCUGAUUACUGAAGAUGUUCAGUUAAGACUACCGAUGAUUAUUUGCUUCGUCUGUUCUGUGUUGCUUUUACUAAAAAACGCAACAAUCAGAUAGGGAAGACCUCUUACGCCCAGCACCAACAGGUUCGCCAAAUCCAGAAGAAAAUGAUGGAAAUCAUGACCACAGAGGUGCAGACAAAUGACUUGAAAGAAGUUGUCAAUAAAUUGAUUCCAGAUAGCAUUGGAAAAGACAUAGAAAAGGCACGCCAGUCUAUUUAUCCUCUCCAUGAUGUCUUCUUUAGAAAAGUAAAAAUGCUGAAGAAACCCAAGUUUGGGUCAGGAAAACUCAUGGAGCUUCAUGGUGAAGGUCGUAGUUCUGGAAAAGCUACUGGGGACGAGACAGGUGCUAAAGUUGAACGAGCUGAUGGAUAUGAACUACAGUCCAAGAAUUCGUCUAAAAUUCAGGCUUUUAAUAAUGACAAAUAA